rnacentral:rRNA from 1 species
AGAGUUUGAUCCUGGCUCAGAUUGAACGCUGGCGGCAGGCCUAACACAUGCAAGUCGAGCGGCAGCGGGAAAGUAGCUUGCUACUUUUGCCGGCGAGCGGCGGACGGGUGAGUAAUGCCUGGGGAUCUGCCCAGUCGAGGGGGAUAACAGUUGGAAACGACUGCUAAUACCGCAUACGCCCUACGGGGGAAAGGAGGGGACCUUCGGGCCUUUCGCGAUUGGAUGAACCCAGGUGGGAUUAGCUAGUUGGUGGGGUAAUGGCUCACCAAGGCGACGAUCCCUAGCUGGUCUGAGAGGAUGAUCAGCCACACUGGAACUGAGACACGGUCCAGACUCCUACGGGAGGCAGCAGUGGGGAAUAUUGCACAAUGGGGGAAACCCUGAUGCAGCCAUGCCGCGUGUGUGAAGAAGGCCUCCGGGUUGUAAAGCACUUUCAGCGAGGAGGAAAGGUUGGCGCCUAAUACGCGUCAACUGUGACGUUACUCGCAGAAGAAGCACCG